rnacentral:rRNA from 1 species
AUCAUGGCUCAGAUUGAACGCUGGCGGCAGGCCUAACACAUGCAAGUCGAGCGGUAGCACAGAGAGCUUGCUCUCGGGUGACGAGCGGCGGACGGGUGAGUAAUGUCUGGGAAACUGCCUGAUGGAGAGGGAUAACUACUGGAAACGGUAGCUAAUACCGCAUAACGUCGCAAGACCAAAGUGGGGGACCUUCGGGCCUCAUGCCAUCAGAUGUGCCCAGAUGGGAUUAGCUAGUAGGUGGGGUAACGGCUCACC